UCCUGGAACUCACUCUGUAGACCAGGCUGGCCUUGAACUCACACCUUCCUCCUCUGGGGUGUUCAGAAGACAAAAGAUUUUUUUUUCAGGUGUAGAAUAUAAACUGGAAAGGAAUUCCUAAUGGUCCUCUGAAUUUCUUUGCAAUCUGUUGAUGUCCUGUGAUGGUUCCCGACUUGAACGACUCUAAAACCAGGGUUUCUCUGCAUAGCUCUAGCUGUCCUGGAACUCACUCUGUAGACCAGGCUGGCCUCGAACUAACAGAGAUCCGCCUGCCGAGUGCUGGGACUACCUGGCAACAUCCAGGAAUCUGAGCAACACUGCUGUUAAGGAUACCCAAUAGAAAGAAGGCAACCCGGUAGGGUCUCUCCAGCCUCAAACCCCUUGGUCAACCCUACCUGACCCACCUAGAAUGGCCACGACCACGUCAUCGCGCAGGAUUUCGAUGGAGCCGCGGGAGAUGAAGUAGAGCGUGGAGAGCACGUCGCCCAGGUGCACCAGCGUGUCUCCCGGCGGCGCGUGCGUGGUCUUGAACUUGACCGCGAGCGCGCGCAGGCACCCCUUGCUGGCGCCGCGGAAGGCGGGGCAGUGCUGCAGCAGCGCGCGGUGCAGGUGCAGGCAGAUGUCCGCCUGCAGGCACUCAGGGAAGCCCUUCAGCACCUGCGGGUGGGGGGUAUGGCGAGUCCCUCCGGGCACAGCAGGGGCUGUGAGUGUUGUGUAUGGGUAGAAGGAUGGGGAGCAGGGGUACACUGCACCGGGCCCUGGACGUUCCCCUGGGCAUGAGUCAAGCAGCUGG